rfam:Oryza sativa Japonica Group DNA, chromosome 11, cultivar: Nipponbare, complete sequence.
ACUGAUUUCCGUGCUCGAUGUUUGACCGUCCGUCUUAUUUGAAAAAAAUAUGAAAAAAAUUAAAAAGACAAGUCACGCAUAAAAUAUUAAUCAUGUUUUAUCAUCUAACAACAACGAAAAUACAAAUUGUAAAAAAAUUUCAUAUAAGACGGAUGGUCAAAGUUGGACACGGAAAUCCAGGGUUUGUCUUUUU